UUGGACACAGUCUCGGAGGGAGGUCCAGCUCUGACUGGCCUGACUGAGUAGAAAAACACACUGCCAUAUCCGCUGCUGUGGUGGAUUCCAUGGAGAACCCCCAAGAUUACAGACCUGGAUUCAAAUGGUCUGGUGAUGUCUGCUGUGUGGAUUCCAUGGAAAGGAAAACCCCCAGGAAUAUAGAUGGAGUGGGCAGUUUGGACUUGCUAAGUCCCACUUUGGACCCCCUCUCUGGGCAAUCCUGGGCAAUCCUUGCUUCCAGAGCCAUCGUCCCUGGAAUAGCCCACUGGGGGUGUUCAAUACCCCACUAAGCAGUGUGUUCAGAGAAGACUCAGGCCAUAGCAAAAGCCUUUCUUACCUGUCAAUCAACACAAUCUCCAAUUGAUCUGCUUCAGGGAGCAACUUUCAGUCCUGUCUCUAUUCUGUUAGUCCAUAAGAGCUAAGGCUAUCUAUAAUGUCUACAUCGGAUUCCAGGGUUCAGUUUAAUCCUAGUGCUGGUACCAGAAAACAUAAAUAAUGCAUCUUC